UACGGGGGGAGCAAGCGUUGUUCGGAUUUACUGGGCGUAAAGGGCGCGUAGGCGGUCAGCACAAGUCAGUUGUGAAAUCUCCGGGCUUAACUCGGAAAGGUCAACUGAUACUGUGCGACUAGAGUGCAGAAGGGGCAACUGGAAUUCUCGGUGUAGCGGUGAAAUGCGUAGAUAUCGAGAGGAACACCUGCGGCGAAGGCAGCCACCUGGCAUGAUACUGACGCUGAGGAGCGAAAGCGUGGGGAGCGAACAGG
rnacentral:rRNA from 1 species